ACGGAGGGUGCAAGCGUUAAUCGGAAUUACUGGGCGUAAAGCGCACGCAGGCGGUCUGUCAAGUCGGAUGUGAAAUCCCCGGGCUCAACCUGGGAACUGCAUCCGAAACUGGCAGGCUAGAGUCUUGUAGAGGGGGGUAGAAUUCCAGGUGUAGCGGUGAAAUGCGUAGAGAUCUGGAGGAAUACCGGUGGCGAAGGCGGCCCCCUGGACAAAGACUGACGCUCAGGUGCGAAAGCGUGGGGAGCAAACAG
rnacentral:rRNA from 1 species